CCCCCUCUCCUCACUUUCGUCUUCCUCUCCUCGCACGCGCAACCUUUGCCUCCACUCCCUCGCCUCUUCCCCUUCUUCUCCUCGACAUCUCCACGAGUGGGGGAAUGACGAACUCGAGCUUGGCGACAGGGAUUCGAGCGCCAGCACUCCAUAUCCGGCGGAGGGUUUGCGCGCGGGUGGCGGCGAUUUCGAUCUGUGUGUGCCUCGUUGCUGGAGGCGGCUGCCCGAUCCAGCAACUGGUGAAGCAACUCCCGACCAGCGACCAUCCCUCCUCGCCCGUGUCUCUGCCCCGCACUCGUUUCGCCAGCAACCUCGACUAGAUCGGCAUCUGGUGCAGGAGGCUCGGGGUGGUUGUGGGCCUCGUGGCGGCGGCCUCCUCAGCGGCGUCGCCGGACAACCUCCACGCGCGGAGGAGGCAUCUCCACGGGUUCCCCGAGCCCGACCAUGGAGUAUGGGACGAGAAUGUUUGUGGCCAGCUAGUGGAUGCGGGUCGGAGCAGCGGGACUCCCGCCUAUGCCUCGCGCGGCUCGGAGAGACGCUGAGCUCCAAUGACCCAUGGACGCGCCGGCGAGUGCGGGUGGCCCGCUCGAUGCUUUCAGCCGGAGAUUCACAGGAAGCUUGCGACGUUGCUACCCUCCAUCUCCCUCACACACGACUUACGCCGUCGCCAGGAUCCCCAUUUUCUUCCUGUACUGGUGCUGCUAGCUCCUUGGCGACCGUUAUGACGCCAUAUGUGGCUUCACUCGGCCCCUCCUCCCCGGCAGGAGCCUUCUUGACGGAUUAAAUCAUGCUAUCUUGCUAUUUGCUUCCAAGCCUAAAUAUUUCUCAUCCAUACAUGAUUUUAUCUAUAAGUUUGGUCGCGACAUCGACUGCCUAUCUUGACAACAUUGGUGCUGAAGUUAUCGAGCCUCCAAAGAAUGGGAUAUUCAAAUGUCACAGAACUCGUCGGUGAUGUUAUCGAGCAUUCAGGGAAACCAAAUGUCAUAGUUUCUACAAAUGUGCAUGAGCUAUUGGAAUGCCCUGUGUGUUUGGUUCCCAUGUAUCCUCCAAUUCAUCGGUGCUCCAAUGGUCAAACCAUUUGUUCUGAAUGCAAGCCAAGGGUUCAUAAUGGCCGCCCAACUUGCAGGAGUGAAUUGGGUAACAUAAGAUGCCUUGCUUUGGAGAAGGUUUUAGGUUUUUGUUGAUUUAUGUGAUGGAAUCUUGAUAUGUAGCAUGACUUCCGUCCUGGACAGUUGCCGGGAAUGCGUUGAGAAAAUGCAACAUGACUUGAUGUUUGAAGUUACAGCCUUACAGGAGCAUCAACACAAAUUUGCAACGACGAAGUUUAUACCAUGCUUGUGUAGUCAGUCUGAAGCAUUUGCCUUUGGAAUUAAAGAAGAUCAGAGUAUGACACUGACCUGAGAUCAUACGAAGCGAUUUCAGUGCUAGCAAAUAUGCUAAAGACAUACAGAGAAGGCAAUCAGUGCAGUGGAUUCCAAUAUUGAUGCGAGAAAAAUGCCUUUGGGUUGAAGCCCACUUACUAAUAUUCUCAUGGUCUAUGUGUGUGUGUGUGUAGCUAUUCCUAUUUGUGAUUACCAUCUUGUAGGAUGUUAAUCAGUACCUUACCUUUGACUUCCAUUCAAAGGCCCUGUUUGGAUACUCUAACACAGUUAGAGUUAGAGUUAUUUUCUAACCCACUCUAACCCAAAUAAGCACCUCUCCACCGGGAUAGUUGGGUUAGAUGAAACUAACCCACUCUAACCCUCCCUGUUUGGAUACUUUUGGGUUAUUUGAGCCCCCAACUAACACAAACUAGCUCUAACCCCAUGAUCCAAACAGGGCCAAAGUUGAAGCGAUUAUUACUUAUCUAUUUAUCUAUUUCAAUGAAUAAGCCCACUUACUAAUAUUCUCAUGGUGUUUUAACAAAUAUAUAUACCAUCGGCUUGACGGCGAGGAGGAAAGCCCCGCAGAUCGAGGAGGACGGCGCUACGACUGUGCUGUAGGUGAAGAGCAUGGUCAUGUCAUGGUACCGCAUAUCGGUGGUGGUCCGCUUGCCUGCUAUGGCGUCCAACACGACUACACCCUUUUACUUGGCUGCUAUUUGAUUGGGAGGGUGCUCUUUUGCUUUAAAGACAUGAUUGGUGGAUGUAUUUUGGUUUUAUGAUGGCCAGGUUGAGCAAAAUCACAUGGUUUUUUUUUUCAAGUUUGAGAAGAAAAAGACACCGGAACAGUCUGAUAAAGUAGAUCUAUGCUAGCAACUAGCAUCAUCAUUCUUUGUGCUGGAUUGGUCAAACGUUGGACAUUUGAAGAGAAGGAACUUCGUGUGAGAUUAAUAUCUUUCUGAUCAGUAGCAUCAUCCGUGACAAGGAUGUAUAAUGAAUGGCCAUUAGAAGAGAGGAAAGGACGGGCAGAAGGUUUGCUACACAAUUGAACAUGUUCCAUUAUUGAUUGAUUUUCAAUAUUGGUGCAUCUGGGUCCCACGCCGUGGCGUGGACACGGUGGCCCUGCCGAAGCGGGUGUGGUCGAGCCACUGGAUGAUGUAGCCGGUGGCUCCAUUCAUGCACAUCGGCUGGUCCUGCUCCGGCGAGCAGCCGCCGCCCUUCCUGUCCUGAUAUCGCCUUGCAUCUCCUUUAGGUGAGGGUGUUGGACGCGGAGCAGGGAGUAAAAAAUUGUGGAGCUGUCAGUCCGUAAACGCUCUUGUAAGAGUUUUACUUAUCCACACCCGAAAAGCAGCUAAGCUGCAGUUUGUUAGUGAAUAGUGAUGUGCUACAGUUUCACUUAUAUGGAAAGAGACGAGAUUCAUUUGCAUUGCUUGUAAUGCUUUUCUCUUUGGAUCAAAGAGCUCACCAUUGUCGUGUAUAUGUGCUAACAAGAGGU